rnacentral:misc_RNA from 1 species
AACGCACAUUGCGCCCGCUAGUACUCUAGCGGGCAUGCCUGUUCGAGCGUCAUUUCAACCCUCAAGCCCUGCUUGGUGUUGGGGCCCUACGGCUGCCGUAGGCCCUGAAAGAUAGUGGCGGGCUCGCUAUAACUCCGAGCGUAGUAACACAUCUCGCUCAGGGCGUUUUGGUGGGAUCCGGCCUUUUAUAAUACUUCAAUUGUUGACCUCGGAUCAGGUAGGAAUACCCGCUGAACUUAA